rnacentral:tRNA from 1 species
GCCUCCAUCGUCUAGCGGCCUAGGACGACACCCUUUCAAGGUGUAGGUCGCGGGUUCGAAUCCCGCUGGAGGUACCA